rnacentral:siRNA from 1 species
AAUAGUCUUAUGGAUAGCAUCUUC